UUUUUUGGUUAGCAGAGGAAAAAGGCAACACCUAUGUAUUUAAGGUGGAAGGGUUUUUGUAAAGAAAUAAAUUUUUUCUUCUAUGUCCUAGGGAGGACACGGGUUAGUAUAGAGUUGCUAUUUCUUUGUUUCUAUUUCAUUUCUUUUCUAUGUGGUGUACAUCUAAGUUGUAAUAUGUGUAGUUGGAAUCACAAUAAAGAAUCUUUUAUUGGUAAAUAAAAUGAUAAGAUAUAGUUGAUGAUAAAUGCAGAGUAUGUUUUUUGGUACUAGUGGAGAUAAAUGACAGAAAAGAAAGAAAGCAGAAUGCGUAGAGAAGAAUAACCUUGUUAAACAUUUUAGAGACUAAUAAAAGAUUAACUAAUUCUUUGUAUGACUAAAAUAGAUUAAUUAAUUAUAUAUAUAUGCAUGAGUGACUGGUUGUUAAAAAUGAUGUUGUGUACAAUUUUGAGCUUGCAAUUGUGAACUUUUCUUUGUGAAAACUUGCAGUUGAUAAACGGGUAUGGAGGUCUGCUAGAUGAGAAGAGUAUAGCCUAAUCACAGCAAUCGAAGGCCUCAGAAUGAUCAGGCAAAGUGACGUACCCCUUUCAUACUAUACACGACUUUGGUAUGUUGUUUGCUUAUUCUAUAAAGAUUGGAAUAACUUGAGAUUUAGACGAAGGCUAGCCAGGAGUAUAAUAAUUGAAGAUGGCAUUGAACCCAGGCUCACAUGGAAUGAUGAUGGACCCCAUUUUGUGUCUGUACAUCUGGGGAAGAGGGUCAGAUAAAAUAUUAGUUUAUUGCCUUACUCUUGGAGUUAGAACCUGUUUGUAACCUGCAAAAUGGCUUAUUUGGCAUCAAACUUUCUCUACGUACAAUUUUAUCUAAAGAAAAGUGCUUAAUUACUCAUAUUACAUGAAGUAUUGUUAAUGCAUUCAUGCCAAAAUUUAUUGGAAUUACUAAUUGCAUUUGUCGCA